AUCAACGCUGGCGGCGUGCCUAACACAUGCAAGUCGAACGCGAAAGUGGAGCAAUCCAUGAGUAGAGUGGCGAACGGGUGAGUAACGCGUGGGUGACCUACCUUCGAGUGGGGGAUAACGUCCCGAAAGGGACGCCAAUACCGCAUGACAUCCUGCCCUUGAACGGGUGGAGAUCAAAGCCGGGGAUCGCAAGACCUGGCGCUUGAAGAGGGGCCCGCGUCCGAUUAGCUAGUUGGUGAGGGUAAUGGCCUCACCAAGGCGAAGAUCGGUAGCCGGCCUGAGAGGGCGGCACGGACACACUGGGACUGAGACACGGUCCAGACUCCUACGGGAGGCAGCAGUGGGGAAUUGUUCACAAUGGGGAAAGCCCUGACUGCAGCAACGCCGCGUGGAGGAUGAAGGUCCUUUGGACUGUAAACUCCUGUUGCCGGACGAAAGCUGACCUAAACGUCAGAGUAUGACGGUACGGGUGGAAGAAGCACCGGCUAACUCUGUGCCAGCAGCCGCGGUAAUACAGAGGGUGCAAGCGUUGUUCGGAAUUACUUGGGCGUAAAGGGCGCGUAGGCGGCGCCUAAGUCGAACGUUGAAAACUCCCUGGGCUCAACCCGGAACCUGCAGUCGAUACUGUGCAGUGCUUGAAGUAUGGGAGAGGGAUGCGUGAAUUCCCGGUGUAGCGGUGAAAUGCGUAGAUAUCGGAGGAACACCUGUGGCGAAGCGGCGCAUCUGGACCAGAACUGACGCUGAGGCGCGAAAGCCUAGGGGAGCAAACGGAUUAGAUACCCCUGGUAGUCCUAGGCCCUAAACGAUGAAUGCUUGGUGUGAGCGGGUACCCGAUCCAUGCGUGCCGAAGCUAACGCGAUAAGCAUCCCGCCUGGGGAGUACGGUCGCAAGACUGAAACUCAAAGGAAUUGACGGGGGCCCGCACAAGCGGUGGAGCAUGUGGUUCAAUUCGACGCAACGCGAAGAACCUUACCAUGGCUCGAAAGGUAGGAGACAUCGGUAGAAAGUAGGCCUUCCGCAAGGGAGCUGCUAGAGGUGCUGCAUGGCUGUCGUCAGCUCGUGUCGUGAGAUGUUGGGUUAAGUCCCGCAACGAGCGCAACCCUUAGUCUUCUGUUGCCAUCAGGGUCAGCUGGGCACUCUGAACGAGACUGCGGUAGGAUAACUACGAGGAAGGUGGGGAUGACGUCAAGUCCGCAUGGCCUUUAUGUCCUGGGCUACACACGUGCUACAAUGGUCCGGUACAAACCGUCGCAGAGCCCGUAAGGGGGAGCUAAUCGGAGAAAGCCGGUCCUCAGUUCGGAUUGUAGGCUGCAAUUCGACUGCCAUGAAGCUGGAAUCGCUAGUAAUCGCAGGAUCAGCAUGCUGCGGUGAAUACGUUCCCGGGUCUUGUACACACCGCCCGUCACAGUCACGAAAGUGGUUGUACUAGAAGUCGCUAGCGCUAACCCGACAAUCGGGAGGCAUGGUGUAACGGUAUGAUCCAGUGAUUGGGGUG
rnacentral:rRNA from 1 species